AGCAGCUUUUAGCCCCACCUGUGGUUCAGGUAAGGACCAGGUGGGGCAAAUUGUGUCAUGUACAGCUCAGCACUCUUUUCUCCCUCAGCGCACCUAAAGGCGUACCGUGGAGGAAUCACGGGUGAAGAGGAAGAGAGAGGAAAGGCCCAGAGAUUGCCCCACCAUUGCAACCAGGAGCCACAGGCAGAGUAACACUCGGCCGCAGGACAAGAGGAGCCAAGAGACCAACAGACCACCGACAGCGUCGCAGCUGCAGCUUUCGUGUUGGAAUGUGGCUGGCCAAGCUCCUGUCAUCUCAGUGGAGCCCUGCACUGCUACUGUGCGCCAAGAGGAGUCUGUCAGCUUCAGGUGCCAAGUGAAGGGUGGUACACGGCCAAAGCUGGAAUGGAGGAGUCAAACAUGAGCUUGUCUUCACAACUUGGUGUUUCACUAGUGGCAAAGACAGAAACUCUUUUAACUCCAUUAUGCAGACAGAAACUGUCUUUUAUUAAAAAAUAAAAUCAUAGUGCUAGAUUA